GCCAAGUAACCUGUCCUGCUUCACCCAACUGGAAUCUGACAGGCAGUUAAUAGCCCAUGAAAAAGCCGUAUCCAAACUGUACUUUGAAGGCAUCAGAAAGUCCUGCUUUUGAAUGAUUUCCUUCCCAUUGCAACUCCCAAAUCCGGUCCAGCAAGAGGCCUGACGUUGAGUGGCUCCUCAAGCAUUCAGAUGUGUCUGAGCAAACACAAGAGGCAAUCAAAUUACCUGAACACCGGCCACUUCAGAGUGCUCACUUGAGAUGACAGUUUCAGCUUCAAAAGAGAUGGAGGCACUGAGGCUCAGAGAGGUUACAUAACUUGCUCAGGAUUUAUGGCUGUGCAAUGGCCAGAACUCAUUGCAUGGUUCUAUGCAGCAACAAAAGGCCUGAGAAGCAAACCAGAACAGAAGGAGAUUUCCAUAGGCCACCAGCCAGAACAUGACUUGGAGGAUGGAAUGCUCUGUGAGGCUUUUGAUAUGGAUGUGACUACUGGAAACUAUCUAACUGCUAUCUCAGACCACGAGGCAACCUAGAGGAUGGAAACCACGUGCUGAAGGUGAUGGAACAUAAUGUUUGCAGGAGCCUGACACCAUGGCCCUGCCAUGAAAUCCUGGACUGCCUUGCUCCAGACUGCUUUCAC
rnacentral:lncRNA from 1 species